GAAGCUCGCUAGGCCGUCGCUGGUGCAAUUUGGGAAACCAAGCACUGGAGGAACGUCCGGACUGCAUAGGACAGCGUAGCAGCUAACAGCUGUCCACUGAAAGUCGCAAGAUAUAAGGUGAGGAUCAGAGCAACAGAGACGAGCCAAUUCAGUUUGGGUGAAACGGGCAAUCUCUACGCGCAGCAAUACCAAAUAGGCUAUCUUUGAGGCGGUUCGCUGAGAUAGCGGGUAGGUAGCACCGAGCUUUGGGGUAACUCAAAGCCAAGAUGAAUGACGGUCACGGUGUAGCUUUAGGGCUAUGCCGCACAAAAUCCGGCGUAUCGGCGAGCUUCACUU
rnacentral:RNase_P_RNA from 1 species